AUAGGGCCCUAAAUCUUAACUGCCUUCAGUACUUAACGGCAGCUGAGCAACGAUAAACAUCAAACAAGUACUGAGCUUCUGUACAAGCAGCACACGGUAACUGACAGUCGGGGGCGUCUGAAGUCUUGAUUUUUUUAGAAGGAGGAAGUGAAAGAGAUACUGGUCUGCCUCAUGGAUUGUGGGCUGAUCAUCUUUGUGCUCACAGGAGCACUGGUCAAUGUUGCCUCUGCCCAAACUCGUCAGUACUACUUUGAGAGUACACCACUGAACUGGACUGAAGCUCAGAGCUUCUGCAGACAGGUCUACAGUGACCUGGCCACCAUAGAAACCAUAUCUGACGUCAGUACCGUACUCAGCACCACACCGAGCU